CCUACGGGGAGCUGCAGUGAGGAAUAUUGGUCAAUGGACGAGAGUCUGAACCAGCCAAGUAGCGUGAAGGAUGACUGCCCUAUGGGUUGUAAACUUCUUUUAUAUGGGAAUAAAAUGUUCCACGUGUGGGAUUUUGUAUGUACCAUAUGAAUAAGGAUCGGCUAAAUCCGGGCCAGCAGCCGCGGUAAUACGGAGGAUCCGAGCGUUAUCCGGAUUUAUUGGGUUUAAAGGGAGCGUAGGUGGAUUGUUAAGUCAGUUGUGAAAGUUUGCGGCUCAACCGUAAAAUUGCAGUUGAAACUGGCAGUCUUGAGUACAGUAGAGGUGGGCGGAAUUCGUGGUGUAGCGGUGAAAUGCUUAGAUAUCACGAAGAACUCCGAUUGCGAAGGCAGUUCACUGGACUGCAACUGACACUGAGGCUCGAAAGUGUGGGUAUCAAACAGGAUUAGAUACCCGUGUAGUC
rnacentral:rRNA from 1 species